UGCUAUUGGGAACGAAUGUUCAAUUUAUAUGG
rnacentral:piRNA from 1 species